UACGUAGGGGGCAAGCGUUGUCCGGAAUCAUUGGGCGUAAAGAGCGCGUAGGCGGCCCGAUAAGUCCGCUGUGAAAGUCAAGGGCUCAACCCUUGAAUGCCGGUGGAUACUGUCGGGCUAGAGUCCGGAAGAGGCGAGUGGAAUUCCUGGUGUAGCGGUGAAAUGCGCAGAUAUCAGGAGGAACACCAAUAGCGAAGGCAGCUCGCUGGGACGGUAUUGACGCUAAGGCGCGAAAGCGUGGGGAGCAAACAGG
rnacentral:rRNA from 1 species